UAAUACUUUGAACGUGACUAUUAAUAUUAUUGUAAGAGAAAUGUGCAUAAUUAUUUUAGUUGUUACAAAUAUAUAAGAAUCGGAGUUAUGGAUCUCUUAGUAACUUUAAGAUCAUGGUUUGCGCACUAAGUUUGUUUUUGGUUGCGAUGUGCUUAGCAUCAUCUCACGGAUUUGGUUUCUUGGGCGCUUGUAAAGAUUGCAACGAUGAUGAGGAUGAUGGUCUCUUCGAUUUUCUAGGAGAUUUCUUUUGUGAUAUAUUUUGUGAUGCUGAUGAUGAUGAUGAUGAUGCAGAAACUACUACCAUGCCAGCUAAUACUUCAACUACUACUAGCAGUUCACAGUCUGAAAGUUCUUCGUCAACAGAAACUACCUCUCCAGCUGCUUCUACAACCACUGGGUCAGAUUCCCCAUCAACUUCAACAACUGUCUCACCUUAAUUGAAUGUGCAGAAACGUGUGGGAAGUGGUGAUACAGAGUGUUUUUUAAAUUACAUAAUAAUAAUAAUAUUUAUUUAAUCCUGUUACGACAUAAAAAUGUAUAGGACAAAGUCAAAUGUGAGGACAAAUGUACAAUAAAACAGUGAAACAAGCACAGAAAUACAAUUAACGAUUUGCUAUGUACCGAGGAGCACCAGGAUCAUUUAAGAGUUUUUCAACGUUAUAGAACAUCUUGUCUAGAGACUUAGUUUACGUUUGAACGUAUGGAAGUUGUUGGCCGUUGUAAUGGGACUGCACUGAUCAUUAGUUCUUCCUCGUGGGCCAUCGCAAUAAUAGAAUCCUAUUUUGAAAAGUAAGUACCUACGUUUGGGACUUUUGGCACUGAGCAUGUUGUCCUUUGGGAGUGGAAUGCUCAAAAUCAUAGUGUUUAAAGUUACCGUUAAUUGGCAGCGUUUAUUUUCCAUUGUUAGUCCGUUUGUCCGUUGGUUUACUCCAUUGUUAGUGUUUAGGGUGUGCAAUACAAAAAUCGAAAUUAUUUGUCUUCUCGCUACCAUGAUAUAAAUAAGUGUUGUUGCAA